UACGGCGGGUGCAAGCGUUAUCCGGAUUCACGGGGUUUAAAGGGUGCGUAGGAGGGCAGGUAAGUCAGUGGUGAAAUCUCCAAGCUUAACUUGGAAACUGCCGUUGAUACUAUCUGUCUUGAAUAUUGUGGAGGUGAGCGGAAUAUGUCAUGUAGCGGUGAAAUGCUUAGAUAUGACAUAGAACACCAAGUGCGAAGGCAGCUCGCUACUCAAUUAUUGACUCUGAGGCACGAAAGCGUGGGGAUCAAACAGG
rnacentral:rRNA from 1 species